GAAAGAUUAGUUUAUUUUAAAAUAUUAGAUUGUAAAUCUAAAGAUGUUUUCUUUUA
rnacentral:tRNA from 1 species